AUUGAACGCUGGCGGCAGGCCUAACACAUGCAAGUCGAGCGGAUGAAGGGAGCUUGCUCCUGGAUUCAGCGGCGGACGGGUGAGUAAUGCCUAGGAAUCUGCCUGGUAGUGGGGGAUAACGUCCGGAAACGGGCGCUAAUACCGCAUACGUCCUGAGGGAGAAAGUGGGGGAUCUUCGGACCUCACGCUAUCAGAUGAGCCUAGGUCGGAUUAGCUAGUUGGUGAGGUAAAGGCCUACCAAGGCGACGAUCCGUAACGGGUCUGAGAGGAUGAUCAGUCACACUGGAACUGAGACACGGUCCAGACUCCUACGGGAGGCAGCAGUGGGGAAUAUUGGACAAUGGGCGAAAGCCUGAUCCAGCCAUGCCGCGUGUGUGAAGAAGGUCUUCGGAUUGUAAAGCACUUUAAGUUGGGAGGAAGAGCAGUAAGUUAAUACCUUGCUGUUUUGACGUUACCAACAGAAUAAGCACCGGCUAACUUCGUG
rnacentral:rRNA from 1 species